rnacentral:rRNA from 1 species
AACGAACGCUGGCGGCAUGCCUAACACAUGCAAGUCGAACGAAGGCUUCGGCCUUAGUGGCGCACGGGUGAGUAACGCGUGGGAAACUGCCUAUUGGUGGGGAAUAACGACGGGAAACUGUCGCUAAUACUGCAUAAGCCCUUCGGGGGAAAGAUUUAUCGCCGAUAGAUGUGCCCGCGUCCGAUUAGCUAGUUGGUGAGGUAAUGGCUCACCAAGGCGACGAUCGGUAGCUGGUCUGAGAGGAUGAUCAGUCACACUGGGACUGAGACACGGCCCAGACUCCUACGGGAGGCAGCAGUGGGGAAUAUUGGACAAUGGGCGAAAGCCUGAUCCAGCAAUGCCGCGUGAGUGAUGAAGGCCUUAGGGUUGUAAAGCUCUUUCGGGUGGGACGAUGAUGACGGUACCACCAGAAGAAGCCCCGGCUAACUUCGUGCCAGCAGCCGCGGUAA